CCGUCUCGUCCGUGCCUUCAGUUUCAACAGCCUGGGGUGACUCAUUAAAAAUAGUUGGUUUAAAAGCCAGCUUGCUGAAGUUGUUCUGCCUUGUGUGUACAUUUCAUCAUUACUCAUUUUAAAUGGGACUCUGCUAAUUAUAGAAGCAUGCAAGCGGAAACAAAAGUGAAAGUUUCACUUUACAGACCAAGUUAGGAUUCAGCUGCACUGUCGUGUUGUUAAAUGAAAGAUCGUACUGUAAGAAAUAACGAUGCUAACGAUUGCACAUUAAAUUCACCGAUUUUGGAAAGCGAGUAAGAGUGGCUUUAUUUCCCAAGCUGAAAAAUGAGACUAAACAGGAAACCACCUAAAUGGAUCCUCACACUGAUUCUUGCAUUUCACAUCACAUCUAUAAAGGUUGAAGCUCCUCGUGUAGAGGCUCUGAGGAUCCUGAUUGUGGGAAUCAGAGGUCAGUCCAGAUUCAGUGCUGCAGAUCUUCUGUCAGGAAGGAAAGACGGUGGACAGGAGGACAGAGAGUUUGUAAAGACUCCAGUAAUCACAGACGAGGCUCGUAGAAUGAUGCUGGUCACUGGACCAAACCUCUGUGAGGAGGACACAGCGAGACAGACCUUCACAACAGCGCUGUUUCUCUCGUCUCCAGGACCUCACGCCGUUUUAAUGCUCCUGAAUCUGGAAGAUCAACAACAGUGUGAUAUUGUGAAACGAGCCCAGGAGCUGCUGGGAGCAGAAGUCCUGCAGUACUGCAUUGUUCUUCUGCUCCAAAAUCAGCAGGAACGUUUCACAGGAGCGUCCAGAGGGAUUGCUGGAGAAAUGAUCAACGCAUGUGGAGGGAGAUUUCACGUCAUAAGAGACUCUGAAUCAAAACCUGCUCGAAGAGCAGCUCUCGUAGCAGAAAUAGACAAGUUAGUUUGGCUCAAUGGUGACAAAUUUUACACAGCACUGAAUCAAACUCAACAGUUAGAAGCUGAAAGGCUGGAGCUUUUACAAAGGCUAAAAGAAAUAGACGGCAAACUUGGAGAAAGUCAGGUCUCAUCUGCAAUGCGUGACAGUUUAGGAGUGGUCGGAUGGAGUCUGAUCAUUUCACUGAUUGCGGUUGUUUUGGCUACUGAACAGAAACACACAAUGUUAAUUUUUGUGGCAUCUUUAGCUGGACUCGUGACAUUUAUGGCAUCUUUAAGAAAUGCUUUGAGUCCACAUGUUGCUUUUGCACUAAAUUUGGCUCUGUGCUCCACAGUUGCGGCUGCCUUUAUAAAGUAUCUACCAAUGCGCAAGUCAAGUAACAAAGAAAAAAUCGGAACAGAGUUUAUAUUUACAGUAGGUUUAGGAGUGACUCUUGGAUCAAUCACUAGUGUAAGGACUUUGUCUGAUGUUUUUGUAGCAUGCUGUGCUGCAUUUGGAGUCACAAACGGUGCUUUUGCAUUUUUAGGUUUAUCCUUUGAGUUAAAAAAACUGAAUGUCCGAGAAUUAUUCCUGUUAUUUCUGUUUUGUGCGGUAGGUGCUGAACUCACAAUGUUGUGUGUGAUUGUGCUCAAUGCACUGUUCGGAGUGACACUCACAAUCAUUUUGAUAAUAAUCAUGAUUGUAAUUGCAUCUAACAAUUUAGAUCCCAACAUGCAGAACACCGUAAUUAAGUUACUUCUUCCUUCAGUGAUUUUUUCAUGUGCUUGUGUGUGUAUUGGUUCAGUUGUUCUGACUUUAGAGAUGUUUUUGAGUUUUCUUAAGGUAUGUAUCGAAUACCUGGUGGGUUCGUACUUGUUUUAUCCAGUGUUAUUGCUUGGUUCUUUAAUGCUGUUUGGACAUUCUGUGUCAUGACUGUGAAAUGCACCAUUCUCUAUUGAUGACUUUUCAAAAUGAGCUGUGGACUCUGACGAGCUACAGUUUUCUGAAAGCAAUAUUUAAAUUAUAUAUUUAAGCAAUAUUUAAAUAGACAUUAUACCUGGCUUUGUUUUUGAAGGCUCUUGUUUGUGAAAUAGACUGAUGACAUUCUUCUGAUAUCAUCAGCCAGUCAAUGUUGUCAUGACGUCAAUAAUUAGUCACAUGGUGUUUACAGCUCAGCUGAUUGGCUCAAACUAUCUGACUACAAAACUCUGCGUCCAUGAGCAAAAAUCUCAAACUGCGUACGUUCAAGUGGAUGAGUAUUAAAUAUUAUGGACGUCAUUGUGUUCUUGGAUUGGAUGUUUUCAGUCUUUUGAUUUACUUUGUGUUGUACAUAAUGUGAACAUGCUUUUGCACUGUUGCCAAGAUUGUUACGUGCAAUCUUUUGGUUUCCGUCCAUGAAGUGCCCCAAAAAAAAUAAUGACAACAAAUAAAAACAUUGAGAUGUUUGAGAAGCGUCUUUUAUAUUUAAAGUCUAUGAUUCAUUUAAGAUUCAUCGUGUAUUGAACCCAG
ensembl:lncRNA